UUUGGGAAUGCAGCUCAAAAUGGGUGGUGAACUCCAUCUAAAGCUAAAUAUUGGCGAGAGACCGAUAGCGAACAAGUACCGUGAKGGAAAGAUGAAAAGCACUUUGGAAAGAGAGUGAAACAGUACGUGAAAUUGUUGAAAGGGAAACGCUUGAAGUCAGUCGCGUCGAUCGAGACUCAGCCUUGCCUGGGCUUGGCAUACUUCUCGGCUGACGGGCCAGCAUCAAUUUUGUCUCUCGGAUAAUGACAGGGGAAAGGUGGCACCUUUACCGGUGUGUUAUAGUCUCCUGUCGCAUGCGAGGGGUGGGAUUGAGGAACUCAGCACGCACCUCUUGGUGUCGGGGCUUCUGCCCACGCUACGUGCUUAGGAUGUUGGCGUAAUGGCUUUAAACGACCCGUCUUGAAACACGGACCAAGGAGUCUAACAUGCCCGCGAGUGUUCGGGUGGAAAACCCGUGCGCGUAAUGAAAGUGAAAGUUGGGACCUCUAUCGUGGAGGGCACCGACGCCCGGACCAGACCUUCUGUGACGGAUCUGCGGUAGAGCGUGCAUGUUGGGACCCGAAAGAUGGUGAACUAUGCCUGAAUAGGGUGAAGCCAGAGGAAACUCUGGUGGAGGCUCGUAGCGAUUCUGACGUGC
rnacentral:rRNA from 1 species